UGUUAUUAGUAAUUAUUAAUAAUAAGGUCUGCUCAAUGAAAUUAAAUAGCCGCAAAUAAAUUUUGUGCUAAGGUAGCAUAAUCAUUCGUUUUUUAAUUGAAAACUAGAACAAACGAUCUAACAUUUUAAAUUAAUUUCUAAGUUUUAACUUUUUAACUUAUCUUUAAUGUAAAAAGACAUUAAUUUUUAAGAAAGACGAUAAGACCCUAUUGAACUUCACUGUAGUUUUACUGGGGCAGUAAAAUAAUUUAUAUUUUAUUUAAUGUAAUCUUAAAAUUAACCUAAUAAAAUUAAAAUUUAAUCAAGUUACCAUAGGGAUAACAGCGUAAUUUUUAUUUAUAGUUCAUAUUUAAGUAAUAGAUUGCGACCUCGAUGUUGAAUAAUUUCCUAAAUUUAAGCAAUAUUAAUAACAAGGAAGUCUGUUCGACUUUUAAAAAAUUACA
rnacentral:rRNA from 1 species